GAGUUUGAUCGUGGCUCAGAACGAACGCUGGCGGCAGGCUUAACACAUGCAAGUCGAACGCAUCCUUCGGGGUGAGUGGCAGACGGGUGAGUAACGCGUGGGAACGUGCCCUUCAGUUCGGGAUAACCCAGGGAAACUUGGGCUAAUACCGGAUACGUGCGAGAGCAGAAAGAUUUAUCGCUGAAGGAUCGGCCCGCGUCUGAUUAGCUAGUUGGUGAGGUAAUGGCUCACCAAGGCGACGAUCAGUAGCUGGUCUGAGAGGAUGAUCAGCCACAUUGGGACUGAGACACGGCCCAAACUCCUACGGGAGGCAGCAGUGGGGAAUAUUGGACAAUGGGCGCAAGCCUGAUCCAGCCAUGCCGCGUGAGUGAUGAAGGCCUUAGGGUUGUAAAGCUCUUUCGUCCGGGACGAUAAUGACGGUACCGGAAGAAGAAGCCCCGGCUAACUUCGUGACAGCAGCCGCGGUAAG
rnacentral:rRNA from 1 species